rnacentral:lncRNA from 1 species
AGUUGUUUUAAAACAAUCUGAGCCUUCUGAACUUAUUCUAAUUAUGUAUCUUUACCACAAAUAAUCUUUUCUUCAUACCUUAGGUGUCGAGCUUUCCGAAUGAGUCUUCGUUCUCCAAUUUGAAUCUAUUCUCAAAAACUUCUGCGAUCAACUCUUCAAGACUCCAAACAACUUUACGAAAUUCGCCAACCUAUAAAAUCCUUAACAAUCUCCCCCUUUGGCGAUUUCGUGACAAAAUAUACUACAAAGUUCGCAUACACCUCAUAACUCAUAAAAAGAAGAUCAUCGCAAUCACCAAACGAUAAUCUCCUGCAUGAUCAAUCCAAUAAACGAAAAUUACACUUUUACAACCUUAAUACAAACUCUAGACUUAGACAUGGAGUCUUGAAGUCUUGAAUUAUUCCUGCAAAAACAUUCUCAAAUCAUAAUCAG